UACGUAGGGUGCGAGCGUUGUCCGGAAUUAUUGGGCGUAAAGAGCUCGUAGGCGGUUUGUUGCGUCUAUCGUGAAAACUCGGGGCUUAACCCCGAGCCUGCAGUGGAUACGGGCAGACUAGAGGUAGGUAGGGGAGAAUGGAAUUCCCGGUGUAGCGGUGAAAUGCGCAGAUAUCGGGAGGAACACCAGUAGCGAAGGCGGCUCGCUGGGCCACACCUGACGCUGAGACGCGAAAAGCUAGGGGAGCGAACAGG
rnacentral:rRNA from 1 species